AUGCAAAAACCAAACCCCAACUCCAAGUACCAGCCUGGCCCCGGAUCACAGCAGCUGCUGCAGAGGAGUCCAGCAGUUCUGGGUUGCUUUACAUCAGCUCAGGGCAGGGACAGGAGAGGAAGCCAGAGCCUCAUGUUGGAAAGGAAUGAAGUCAAGUACUUGGUACAUUCACAUCAUCAUCGAGGAAAAACCACAAUGCCAAGGGUUUGGGAAGGGACUGAGCUGUAACAGCACCAGUCAGACACAGACAAGGGGAGGAAAUCAGGACACCCAGGCUCUGCUCAAACAGCUGGGAGUCUGCAGUGCAGAAGCACAGUCAGCCCCUCAGGUUUGGAUUUUCCAUCUCCGUCCAUCCCGAGAGCAACCAGCUGGCAGAGCCACCUCUGGCAAGAGCAAACACCAGAUCCUCCUGGAUUUGUGUGCAAUAAAAUGGACAGCAGCCUCAAA